rnacentral:rRNA from 1 species
UACGGAGGGAGCUAGCGUUGUUCGGAUAUACUGGGCGUAAAGCGCACGUAGGCGGCGCCGUAAGUCAGGGGUGAAAUCCCGGAGCUCAACUCCGGAACUGCCCUUGAAACUGCAGUGCUAGAAUCUUGGAGAGGCGAGUGGAAUUCCGAGUGUAGAGGUGAAAUUCGUAGGUAUUCGGAAGAACACCAGUGGCGAAGGCGACUCGCUGGACAAGUAUUGACGCUGAGGUGCGAAAGCGUGGGGAGCAAACAGG